CUUAAGUGACCAUGGAGGACAUAGUACGAAUUACCAAGGGCACAUUUAAAUGAAACAACAAACAUUACAGAUAAACAUCUCAUAUAUACACAAGUUCACGCAUCAAAGCAGUUUUUAAGGAACGUUUUCAACAUAAAGUGACCAUGGAGGACAUACGAAUUUCUUAAGGGCUCAUUACAAUGAAACAACAACAAACAUCCUACAUAUAUAAACAUCAUACACAACUUCAUAGUUCCAAGCAAUUUUUAAGGAACGUUUUCUACAUAAAGUGACCAUGGAGGACAACCAAAAUAACGCAGCAUGGUUGGCAACCCUAUCAACAUAAAGUGCCAACAAUUUAUUUAAAUGUUGGCAACGCCACACGAAAAAGCGGAACACAAGUUAAAUAUUAUCCUCAUGUCAAAUAUUUAUUAACUCC